AUUCACAACUCUUCCAGCCUCAAAAGCCAAGAGAUGCCUAAGGAGCAGCAAGAGGUGGUUGUAGUAGGGGGACCCUACAUCUCAACUUCUGCGACAACCACCACAAUCAACAUGCCUAAGAUCUCCAUGCCUGACCAUGUGGUCUGGUCCCUGUUCAAUACAAUCUUCAUGAACUUCUUCUCCCUGGACUUCACAGUGUAUGCCUACUCUGUGAAGUCUAGGGACAGGAAGAUGGUGGGUGAUACGACUAGGGCCCAGGCCUAUGCCUCCACUGCCAGGUGCCUGAACAUCAGUUCCCUGAUCUUCACCAUCCUCAUGGCCAUCAUCUUCAUCAUUAUCUACAUCACUAAAAAAUAGCCAUCUUGCAGCAUCUCACAAUAGAUAACAGAUUCUGGGGCCCUCUAGGCUUGCGGUGUGUUCCAUUGUCUAUUGCUGCCCCAAACCUUAGUCUUAGUCGUGACCCCAUACAUAUGCAAAUGUUACACUCACAUAUCUGUCCAUAGUGGAUUCAAUAAAGUGCAUGUGCUGUGA